rnacentral:rRNA from 1 species
GGAAAUCUCACCAGGCCCGGACACUGGAAGGAUUGACAGAUUGAUAGCUCUUUCUUGAUUCGGUGGGUGGUGGUGCAUGGCUUUUCUUAGUAGGUUGAGUGUUUUGUCUUGUUAAUUCCGAUAACGAACAAGACUCUGUCCUGCUAAAUAAUGUCUGCUUCUCUUUUGAGCAGACAAUUCUUGUUAAUUCGAUAACGAACAAGACUCUGUCCUGCUAAAUAAUGUCUGCUUCUCUUUUGAGCAGACAAUUCUUCUUAGAGGGACUGGCGACUCUUAGUCGCGCAAGAUUGAGCAAUAA